GGCGAAGUAGAGCAAAGGUUAGUUCGUCGGUCUCAUGCUCCGAAAGUCGUUGUUCGAUUCAACGCUUCGCUC
rnacentral:tRNA from 1 species